UCCAUUUAAAAACAGAAAAAGGAAAAUUAUAUCAGGGAACCAAUGACAGUUCUCCCUCUCUCUCUCUCUCUCUAUAUAUAUAUAUAUGGGUAAAAAAUAAAAAAGCCCCCUGUGAUAAGCCUAAUACACAGAAAAGCCCCCUAUGGUUUCAAAAUAUACAAUACGAUACCUCAUACUUUGAACUAAAUUGUAAAGGUGACGGAAUCCGUUAAAUUUAACGGAAAUGACUUAUUGAAACCAAAAAAAAAAUUUUUAUACUUAAUUUUUAUCAAAUAUACCUAUUCUACCCCUUAACCCUCAAUUCUCUCUAUUUAGAGAAUAAAACAAAUGAUUUUUUUGAGCUGUCUUUUGCUUAAUUAUAUCAGGGUAUUUUGGUCAUUUUAUCCAUUUCCGUUAACUUUAACGGAUUCCGUCACCUUUACAAUUUAGUUUCAAGCAUGAGGGGUCGUGUUGUAUAUUUUGAAACCAUGGAGGGCUUUUCUGUGUAUUAGGUUUACCACAGGGGACUUUUUUAUUUUUUACCCAUAUAUAUAUAUAUUUGGGAUAAGCUCAACAAUUGAAUAAAUAAGACAACUUCCUCACGCCAUCCAAAGCUAGUAGUUGCCAAAAAAGCUAUUAGCACUACUGGUGUAGUGUGUGUUUAUGUAUAUUUGUGCAAACGUGAGGGAAAGCAUGCAGUAACAAAAGAAGGGUAUAUUAAUCAAAGAGAGGGUAGAGUAUGGUUACGAUUCUUUGAUUGCAGUAUAAAAGGUUACCACGAGCCCUAACUAUUCUAGCCUCGGUCAAAUUAUAGAGGUUUGACAAGUGGGAUGAUUGACAAGCACCAUGUAGCUAAAAAUCACCCCCUUCCACUCCUAAGAAGCCAAAAGGUGGAUCACGGGAUUAAUACAUUCUUGACACUACGAGCUUUGUAC
rnacentral:lncRNA from 1 species